UACGAGGGGGGCUAGCGUUGCUCGGAAUUACUGGGCGUAAAGGGCUCGUAGGCGGCCAACUAAGUCGGAUGUGAAAUCCCCAGGCUUAACCUGGGAACUGCAUCCGAUACUGGAUGGCUUGAAUCCGGGAGAGGGAUGCAGAAUUCCAGGUGUAGCGGUGAAAUGCGUAGAUAUCUGGAGGAAUACCGGUGGCGAAGGCGGCAUCCUGGACCGGCAUUGACGCUGAGUGAGCGAAAGCCAGGGGAGCAAACGGG
rnacentral:rRNA from 1 species